AACGAACGCUGGCGGCAUGCCUAACACAUGCCAGUCGAACGAGACCUUCGGGUCUAGUGGCGCACGGGUGCGUAACGCGUGGGAACCUGCCCUUAGGUUCGGAAUAACUCCCUGAAAGGGGUGCUAAUACCGGAUAAUGUCUUCGGACCAAAGAUUUAUCGCCUUUGGAUGGGCCCGCGUUGGAUUAGCUAGUUGGUAGGGUAAAAGCCUACCAAGGCGACGAUCCAUAGCUGGUUUGAGAGGAUGAGCAGCCACACUGGGACUGAGACACGGCCCAGACUACUACGGGAGGCAGCAGUGGGGAAUAUUGGACAAUGGGCGAAAGCCUGAUCCAGCAAUGCCGCGUGAGUGAUGAAGGCCUUAGGGUUGUAAAGCUCUUUUACCCGGGAUGAUAAUGACAGUACCGGGAGAAUAAGCUCCGGCUAACUCCGUG
rnacentral:rRNA from 1 species